rnacentral:rRNA from 1 species
GUGGGGAAUAUUGGACAAUGGGCGCAAGCCUGAUCCAGCCAUGCCGCGUGUGUGAAGAAGGCCUUCGGGUUGUAAAGCACUUUUGUUGGGAAAGAAAUCCUGUCGGCUAAUACCCGGCGGGGAUGACGGUACCCAAAGAAUAAGCACCGGCUAACUUCGUGCCAGCGGCCGCGGUAAUACGAAGGGUGCAAGCGUUACUCGGAAUUACUGGGCGUAAAGCGUGCGCAGGUGGUUCGUUAAGUCAGAUGUGAAAGCCCCGGGCUCAACCUGGGAAUUGCAUUUGAUACUGGCGGACUAGAGUGCGGUAGAGGAGAGUGGAAUUCCCUGUGUAGCAGUGAAAUGCGUAGAGAUCGGGAGGAACAUCAGUUGCGAAGGAGGCUCUCUGGACCAGCACUGACACUGAGGCACGAAAGCGUGGGGAGCAAACAGGAUUAGAAACCCUUGUAGUCC